ACGCUCGACACCUACGGGGGGCAGCAGUGGGGAAUAUUGCAUAAUGGGGGAAACCCUGAUGCAGCGACGCCGCGUGAGCGAAGAAGUAUUUCGGUAUGUAAAGCUCUAUCAGCAGGGAAGAAACUGACGGUACCUGACUAAGAAGCACCGGCUAAAUACGUGCCAGCAGCCGCGGUAAUCUGAGCGGGCUGGCAAGGC
rnacentral:rRNA from 1 species